ACAGCCCCGUACACAAAAAUGCACAUGCUGUGAGCUCGAUGAGUAGGGCGGGACACGUGGUAUCCUGUCUGAAUAUGGGGGGACCAUCCUCCAAGGCUAAAUACUCCUGACUGACCGAUAGUGAACCAGUACCGUGAGGGAAAGGCGAAAAGAACCCCGGCGAGGGGAGUGAAAAAGAACCUGAAACCGUGUACGUACAAGCAGUGGGAGCACGCUUAGGCGUGUGACUGCGUACCUUUUGUAUAAUGGGUCAGCGACUUAUAUUCUGUAGCAAGGUUAACCGAAUAGGGGAGCCGAAGGGAAACCGAGUCUUAACUGGGCGUUAAGUUGCAGGGUAUAGACCCGAAACCCGGUGAUCUAGCCAUGGGCAGGUUGAAGGUUGGGUAACACUAACUGGAGGACCGAACCGACUAAUGUUGAAAAAUUAGCGGAUGACUUGUGGCUGGGGGUGAAAGGCCAAUCAAACCGGGAGAUAGCUGGUUCUCCCCGAAAGCUAUUUAGGUAGCGCCUCGUGAAUUCAUCUCCGGGGGUAGAGCACUGUUUCGGCAAGGGGGUCAUCCCGA
rnacentral:rRNA from 1 species